ensembl:misc_RNA
CUGAGGGCCCUGGAGACUGAAGUUCUUUCUUUAUGCACAAAACAGGCACAGCCUGGCCAAGGCAGAGCAAGCAACCUCAGCGCCACCCUCCUGGCAUGCCUCAACCCUGCUCUGGAGGGAUUUUUUCUAAUGGGGAAUAGCUGACAAUGUUCUCCAUUAUGAUGGGCUCAAGUUGUGAUAUGC